rnacentral:misc_RNA from 1 species
GUGGUUUGAUGUAUACAAAGCUUUCCCUCCAAUCACCGAACCUAAAUAUGCACGUCCUAAUCUUGUAGUCAAAGAAAUACGACCAAUCUUAUACAAGGAAGACGUUUUAAGAGCAAAAUUCCAUUCAAACGGUUACGGUUUAGCACCAGUAAGCCUAUUAAAUCAAAGUAAUGAAACUCAAACAAAACGUCUUGUACAGCAAUACGAUAAAUUAAAAGCAGA